rnacentral:rRNA from 1 species
UACGUAGGGUGCAAGCGUUGUCCGGAAUUAUUGGGCGUAAAGAGCUCGUAGGCGGUCUGUCGCGUCUGCUGUGAAAACCUAGGGCUUAACUCUGGGCGUGCAGUGGGUACGGGCAGGCUAGAGUGCGGUAGGGGAGACUGGAAUUCCUGGUGUAGCGGUGAAAUGCGCAGAUAUCAGGAGGAACACCGGUGGCGAAGGCGGGUCUCUGGGCCGUAACUGACGCUGAAGAGCGAAAGCAUGGGGAGCGAACAGG